GCUGGUCAGGAGAGGUUUAUAUAUCAUGUGUUUAACAGGGAGGGACACUGCUGGUCAGGAGAGGUUUAUAUAUCAUGUGUUUAACAGGGACACUGCUGGUCAGGAGAGGUUUAUAUAUCAUGUGUUUAUCAGGGACACUGCUGGUCAGGAGAGGUUUAUAUAUCAUGUGUUUAACAGGGACACUGCUGGUCAGGAGAGGUUUAUAUAUCAUGUGUUUAUCAGGGACACUGCUGGUCAGGAGAGGUUUAUAUAUCAUGUGUUUAACAGGGACACUGCUGGUCAGGAGAGGUUUAUAUAUCAUUGUGUUUAACAGGGACACUGCUGGUCAGGAGAGGUUUAUAUAUCAUUGUGUUUAACAGGGAGGGACACUGCUGGUCAGGAGAGGUUUAUAUAUCAUGUGUUUAACAGGGACACUGCUGGUCAGGAGAGGUUUAUAUAUCAUGUGUUUAACAGGGACACUGCUGGUCAGGAGAGGUUUAUAUAUCAUGUGUUUAACAGGGGGGACACUGCUGGUCAGGAGAGGUUUAUAUAUCAUGUGUUUAACAGGGAGGGACACUGCUGGUCAGGAGAGGUUUAUAUAUCAUUGUGUUUAACAGGGACACUGCUGGUCAGGAGAGGUUUAUAUAUCAUGUGUCUAACAGGGACACUGCUGGUCAGGAGAGGUUUAUAUAUAAUGUGUCUAACAGGGACACUGCUGGUCAGGAGAGGUUUAUAUAUCAUGUGUCUAACAGGGACACUGCUGGUCAGGAGAGGUUUAUAUAUCAUUGUGUUUAACAGGGACACUGCUGGUCAGGAGAGGUUUAUAUAUCAUGUGUUUAUCAGGGACACUGCUGGUCAGGAGAGGUUUAUAUAUCAUGUGUCUAACAGGGACACUGCUGGUCAGGAGAGGUUUAUAUAUCAUGUGUUUAACAGGGACACUGCUGGUCAGGAGAGGUUUAUAUAUCAUGUGUCUAACAGGGACACUGCUGGUCAGGAGAGGUUUAUAUAUCAUGUGUUUAACAGGGACACUGCUGGUCAGGAGAGGUUUAUAUAUCAUGUGUUUAACAGGGAGGGACACUGCUGGUCAGGAGAGGUUUAUAUAUCAUUGUGUUUAACAGGGACACUGCUGGUCAGGAGAGGUUUAUAUAUCAUUGUGUUUAACAGGGACACUGCUGGUCAGGAGAGGUUUAUAUAUCAUGUGUCUAACAGGGACACUGCUGGUCAGGAGAGGUUUAUAUAUCAUGUGUUUAACAGGGAGGGACACUGCUGGUCAGGAGAGGUUUAUAUAUCAUGUGUUUAACAGGGAGGGACACUGCUGGUCAGGAGAGGUUUAUAUAUCAUGUGUUUAACAGGGACACUGCUGGUCAGGAGAGGUUUAUAUAUCAUGUGUCUAACAGGGACACUGCUGGUCAGGAGAGGUUUAUAUAUUAUGUGUCUAACAGGGACACUGCUGGUCAGGAGAGGUUUAUAUAUCAUGUGUUUAACAGGGAGGGACACUGCUGGUCAGGAGAGGUUUAUAUAUCAUUGUGUUU